rnacentral:rRNA from 1 species
UACGAAGGGGGCUAGCGUUGUUCGGAUUUACUGGGCGUAAAGCGCACGUAGGCGGCUUUGUAAGUUAGAGGUGAAAGCCCGGAGCUCAACUCCGGAAUUGCCUUUAAGACUGCAUCGCUAGAAUUGUGGAGAGGUGAGUGGAAUUCCGAGUGUAGAGGUGAAAUUCGUAGAUAUUCGCAAGAACACCAGUGGCGAAGGCGGCUCACUGGCCCGGUACUGACGCUGAGACGCGAAAGCGUGGGGAGCAAACAGG